ACUGUACAAAAACCUCUACACACUUGACUGAACACAAACUACAGCAAAAUAUAUAACAUUAAAAAAAAUGUCAAAAAUGCUAACCACAAAACUAUAAAAUCUUUUCAUGUUUGUUAUCAAUGUAUUAUCUGCAGUUUUCACUUGUUUUCUUUUAGUUUUCAUUUAUUUACUUGUGUUGUGUGAACACUUUAUAACUCUUCAACCGGCAUACACAAACCUGCAAAUUUAGACAAUUGAAUUUUGAAUAUUUUGAACAAUUGUUUUUAUUUUUAUUCAAAACUUUAUAUUUAUUUAUUAUUUAUAUAGGAUUUUAUUAUUCAGAAUAUUUUAGCAUGCAAGUCCACAUUGAAUAAUGAUUGUGUAUUAGUCUGUACGAGCAGAAGUUUCCUGUCGUCUUCUUUGCAUUGUGUUGUCAUGCUUCAGUGAUGUGUGAGUGUUUAUAGUGCUGUGAGUUUAACACUUCAUGACUGAGAUCAGAACAGAACAGAAUCUUCAUCAUCACACAAACCAAAAGAACAACAAUGACUUUCAUCAUCAUCUUCAUCUGGACACUUUCAAUUUUUAUUCUGGAAUCGAGAGGAGUAACUCUGACUCAACCUAAAGUAAAAAGUGUUCAACAAGGACAAACAGCUACAAUAGAGUGUCAUAUAGAUGUAGGAAUAUAUAGCAACUGCUUAUACUGGUACUUACAGAGACCUGGAGAAACUCCUAAACUCCUCAUAUAUUCCAUAAAUAACCGUCAGUCAGGAACUCCAUCAAGAUUCAGUGGCAGUGGAACAGCAAGCACUGGAAAAGAUUUCACUUUGACCAUCAGUGGAGUUCAGACUGAAGAUUCAGGAGAUUAUUACUGUCAAAGUGUGCACUGUCCUAGUAGCUGUGUGUUGACACAGUGAUAAAGAGUGAUACAAAAACCUCUGUCAGUCAGACUGCACACUUACUGCACUCAUACACCUGACAGAUACUGCAGAUGAUCAUACAACACAAUAACACACAACACUGAUCACACAAAUAACACAACAUCGACUUAUGAC